rnacentral:rRNA from 1 species
AUUGAACGCUGGCGGCAGGCUUAACACAUGCAAGUCGAGCGGAGAUGAGGUGCUUGCACCUUAUCUUAGCGGCGGACGGGUGAGUAAUGCUUAGGAAUCUGCCUAUUAGUGGGGGACAACAUUCCGAAAGGAGUGCUAAUACCGCAUACGUCCUACGGGAGAAAGCAGGGGAUCACUUGUGACCUUGCGCUAAUAGAUGAGCCUAAGUCGGAUUAGCUAGUUGGUGGGGUAAAGGCCUACCAAGGCGACGAUCUGUAGCGGGUCUGAGAGGAGGAUCCGCCACACUGGGACUGAGACACGGCCCAGACUCCUACGGGAGGCAGCAGUGGGGAAUAUUGGACAAUGGGCGCAAGCCUGAUCCAGCCAUGCCGCGUGUGUGAAGAAGGCCUUAUGGUUGUAAAGCACUUUAAGCGAGGAGGAGGCUACUUUAGUUAAUACCUAGAGAUAGUGGACGUUACUCGCAGAAUAAGCACCGGCUAACUCUGUGCCAGCCGCCGCCGUAACAC